CCGAUUCCCUCAUCUUCACCAACCUCCAUUCCUCCUCCCCUGCCCCGAUUCUCUUCUUCUCAGCUUCUUCUCGUGCGAUCGAAGGAGAUGACACCACAAGGGAAUCGAUCGCUGAAGCUUGAUACAUCGUCGGUCGUGCCUCCAUGCUCCCUCUCCCUUUCGAGUGGAGUCUUUCCCUUAUCUUGCGAUUGAUCCACCGCCGGCCCUCGAAUUUGAGCGGAGCAGCAGAGAUUUCGUCAAGGAGGUUCAUCAUUUCUUCCUCCCCACCAGAUCUUGGUCCCUUGUCUUCGUCGGCAUGGAUCUGUCGCCGAUCCUCCUCUUGAUUUCCUCCACCCGAGCCCUAGCUCUGGUUCCUCACCGCAACACCGGAGUGUUGACGGCGCUAGCAACCAUCGGCACCUGUUGGGAUGUAGAUCAAUCGCUAAUCUUUCGACGAUUAGAAGAUCUAGAGUUUCGGCGACCUCAACCCUUGCUAGAUUUCAUCCACUAUAGCGAAUGAGCGACAUGUGAGGCUGUGAGAGCUGCUGAGUCAGAGAUUUGAGAUUUCCAGAAGAGGAGCUAAGAUUCGUGUUAAAGAGCGGGCAGCAGCUUCGACUAUACUCUGGCCAUUGAUCCGAUAGCUAGUUGGUUCAGCUGUGAAUCAAUAGAGAGGACUUGGGUUCGAGGCGAGCGUCUCAACGUGGGGGUUGUAUUUGGCACGAUCUAUAUUUAAGGCGGGUACUUCUUACU